rnacentral:rRNA from 1 species
UACGUAGGUACCGAGCGUUGUCCGGAUUUAUUGGGCGUAAAGCGAGCGCAGGUGGUUUAUUAAGUCUGGUGUAAAAGGCAGUGGCUCAACCAUUGUAUGCAUUGGAAACUGGUAGACUUGAGUGCAGGAGAGGAGAGUGGAAUUCCAUGUGUAGCGGUGAAAUGCGUAGAUAUAUGGAGGAACACCGGUGGCGAAAGCGGCUCUCUGGCCUGUAACUGACACUGAGGCUCGAAAGCGUGGGGAGCAAACAGG